rnacentral:snoRNA from 1 species
CACCUCUCGUCUUGGCGCUUCCACUGGUGAAUGUGGUUGUGUAUGUUACGAGAGGAAAAGUAGUGCCUCGCGGCUUUCGGAUCUCCUUCGGUGUUGGUCUUGAAUUUCGACCAAUGUCAUCCUCUGGGUUCGAGACACUU